CAAAUGAUCAAGCAACAAGGAAUAUCAGUCACAGAUGAUCAAGCAACAAGGAAAAGCAUGGUGCAUUACACGACAUUCCGUGAAAAAAAAAAAUAUUAUGUCAGCAAAUAGAAAGUGAUUAGGACCCCUCCAAUGGUCUCAUAGUACAGAUAAGUUAUGUAUACUAAAUACAAUAUUCACCGAAUCCAGCAAUAGUAUUAACUUUGUUUACAUCAAAAUUUUCCUUCCCCCUUCAUGGAUAAAAUGAUGAUAAGAUGGAAAUAUUAGAAAAGAUGAAGCAAAAAGCAGAGUUUGACAACGUUUUACUCCAAACUCUAAGGAGGUGUUGAGGCUUCAAGAUUGAUAACCAGCGAGUGAAGCUGCAACAGGACAUCCCUUGGAACAGCAGAUCACUUUACACACCAUAAGACUCUUUUCCACCAUGUAAACGGAGAUGUGAUGGGGGCCAAAAAUUCCAUGUAAGUCCAUCAUUGAAGGCACCAUUGUACUGUGUCACACCCCCAAUGACCUCAACAAAUAAUCAUCAUACCCCUUUUCCUCCCCUGCAUCCUGUGAAUAAAAAGACAGCAACUCACAACUCAAAAUGAUUAUCAGAUUCUCUUACCAAUCAAAAGAAGGAAAAAAGGAGGGCGAAAACUCAGGAAGAUUCUCCUAAUUAAGGAUUGGUGCCAAGUACGUUGGACAUGGACUGUUGGUACUUCAUGGGAAUAGCAUGUGUUAUUGUCGGUAGUAUUAAAGUAGAACCAGUGGCAUAUUUUGUUUUCGAAUGCUCAAAUCCACACGAAAAUAAAAAUGUCUUAUCCUCUCUACAUCAAUAAAGCCCUCCAAUUUCCAGCAUUACAGUCACAAUCCGCGUUUCGAGCAUGCAUGAUAUUUGAGAGCAUAGCUCGGGAGAAUUGUGUUUUGAACCCUGUUGAGCCCAAAAAUUAACAUUUGGUCCAUGUAAUUUUCAUAAUUGAUAGGAAGAAUAUAAGACGUUAAAAGACCAAUACAUCUUUCAAAUUUCCAUAUAUUAUCUUUUAAGGAUAUAAAAUAGUGAUGGACUAAAAUACCCAAUGACCUUUCACAUAAGUUUUUUUUGUCUUUAUUGCACCACUAUUCAUGCAAUCGUAAUAAUUCUAUUUUAACAAUUUGGAUUUUUCAUUGUUUUUAAUUUUUUUUAUAAAUAAUUAAAAAUCAGCAUUAUUUUCUAUUUUAAAUUAUAAAUAAAGAAAAAUUAUGUUCAAAAACUAUUUUGAGAAAUACUUUCUAAAAAAAUGGUAAUAUGAUUUAUAUUUUUUAUAUUUUCUUUUUGAAAAAACAUUUAAUAAAAAAAUGAAAACUCAUUUUAAAAAUAAAAAUUGAAAACAUUGUUUAAUACUAUUUUUAUAUGAAAAAAAUAAAAAGAAUUAACUUCCAUUCAUUGAUUAUCCAUUUUUUUUCCAUUAGUUAUUUCAAUAAAAAAAAAUAGUAUGUUUACAAUUAAACAAAAAAAUUGAUCAAUUAUGUGUUUUUUGUGGGACUAUCUUUUACAUGAAAAAUAAUUAAAUAACUAAAUUAUACAUAUUUAUUACUCUUUUUAAUUUUAUUUUCUUUAUUUAUUUUUUGUCUAAUAGAAAAUUUUAAUAUAUCCAUAAUUAACAAAGUAAUAAAUCAAUUGUGCACAUUUUAAUCUAUUAAAAUAAAUUACUUUCUAAUUUAAAUAAAUAAAAUGAAAUAAGUAAAUAGAUUUGAGGUUAUUUCUAUUUUUUAACAUAUCUUAUAUCAAUAUUUUUUAUGGUUAAAUAAUUUUUUUACUUUUUUUUCUUUAAUUCCAAAAAUAAAAUGAAAUAAAUAAAUAAAUUUGGUAUUUUCUAACUGAUAUUAUAUUCAUAUUUCUUAUGGUUAAAUAAAUUUUUUAUUUUUUUCUUUAUUAAAAAUAAAAGGAAAUAAAUAAAUAAACUUUUUUUUUGUCUUGUCAUCUAAGGAUUGCACACUCUUAAGGUACACAUUUCUCUAUUACACACUCAUCUUAUGUACUUUAUUUAACUCGCGCAUGAUAAUUCGAAUACUUAUCCCACUAAUGAUGUUUGAGAGAAAUUUUUUUUUCCAUCUUCCACUAUUUUUUGAAACAAACCAAUGAAAACAUGAUUAACCUACCUAUGAUUACACAUUGAGUAGGGGGUAUAUAAAAUUUGAGUCACUGUAAAAUGUAUUUACACUAAGUGUACAUAACAGAUAUAUUAACUGUACAAAGGUGUACAAGACAAAAUUAUACAACAAUUUUUCUUCUUUUCUAAAACCAAACUAAUAUAAAUAUGGUUAACCGACCUAUUGUCAGAUAUUCAUGAGAUGAUGUAUGAAAUUUGAAUUAUUGUACAAAAGUAUUACACUAACUGUACAAGACAAAUUUACUAAUUGUACAAGGGUAUACAAGACUACUUUUUGUUAAAGAUUUCAAGUGAUUUUGAAAAACUUUUCCAUUUUUUUCCACUUAAAGAUUUUUUUCCCACUCAAAUUCUCUCACUCAAGAAUUGUUUCAAAUUUUAUUUUUAAAUUUCAUCAUCAAAAUUUUGUAAUUGCAUAUUUUGUUUUUAUAGUUUUAGCAAUGUUCUUUCUUUCCACUUUUUUUUUUUUUUGUGAAAUUUUAUCCAAUUGAAUCUAUAUUUUAAAUUAUAAUCAUAUUUAUCAAAUUUUUUUACUAAGAUUAUCUUUAAUUCUUUUAAUAUAUUUAUACUCAUUUAUUUAAAAAAUGAAAAACUAAUUUUUUUUUUUUUUUAAACAUGUUCUAUUACCUUUCAAGUAAAAAAUUAAAUAAGUUUGAAAGUCAAUAAAAAAAAUUAAAUACCACUUUCAAUAAUUUUUAGAUAAAAUUUUAUAUAAUAUAUUUUAUUUGAAAUUUAAUUUCUAAAGUUUAACUCAAAAAUUGUAUUGACAAUUUUCUUGUUGUGAGUUAAAAUACUUUGUAUUAGUUUAUUUAGAUAAGAAAAAUUAUUAAUAUAAUAUUAAAACUUUAUAUCUUAGUUUUUUUUUUUCAAUAAAUUUAUCUUUUUAAAAAUUUUAAAAUAAAAACAUUAAAAAUUAAAAAGCUAAAAGAAUAUAUAUAUAUAUAUAUAUAUAUAUAUAUAUAUAUAUAUAUAUAUAUAUAUAUAUAUAUAUAUAUAUAUAUAAAAAAAAUAUAUAAAUAUAUAUAUAUAUAUAUAUAUAUAUAUAUAUAUAUAUAUAUAUAUAUAUAUAUAUAUAUAUAUAUAUAUAUAUAAUAAAGUGAAGUGAUAGUCAAUUUUUAAAAUUUUUAAAAUAUGAUUAAUGUAGAAAAUAUAAAAAAAUAAUUAAAAAUAAGAGAAAAAUAUAGAUGAAAGGGUAAUAUAAAUUUAAAAUAAAAAAUGAAAAUUAAACUAAAAGAUAAAAAAUAUUUGGAUUCCUAAAAUUUUUAUCAUUGCUUAUAAUAAGAGCAAAAAGAUUCAAUAUCUUUAAAAAUGAAAAACAAAAAAACAUUAUUGUUUUUUAUUUGACAUAAAAUAGAAAUAUAGAUUAGAAGAAAAAGAAAAAAAAAAGUUAGAAAUGAGUAAUACUUGAUAGGGAAUAAAAAAAGGAAAAAAAACAUAAAAAAAAUUAAAAUUCACACUUGUGCCAUAUAAGGGUUAAGGGUAUUUUAGGGAUUAAUAAAAAAUAAUAUCUUUCAUCUUAAUUUUCAUACUUUGUUAGGGUUUUAAGCUUAAAUAUACAUGAUAUAUAGACCAAAUAUUAAUUUUUGGCCGCAACCGGACCAAAACACAAUUCUUCCUAUUUGAUAUCUCAAUCAAUUUGUCCUUACGUGAAGGAAAAUCAUUAGUCCGAAAAGACAUGUCAAGCAAUUACAACACUUUCCUUUUCGUCAUUUUGGUUUCUUUUACAUUAGCUGGCAUUGGUUACAUCCUUUAAGAAGCUUUAGCAUGCCGAAAGCUUGUUACAGCACCACCCCUGGACCCAGUGUCUCAAUGUUGAAUACCUUUCUCAUGUAACACAAGUCUGAAUCAUGCCACAGUGCUAGACCCAUUUCCAGGCCUUGAUGAUUCAUCCCACACUCACAUGCCCAAUGGAAGUCAGUGGGAAGGCACUCAAAACUCCUACUCUUGACUCUCUGAAAUGGAUGGGAAGGACGAUGCAGAAGGGGUCCCCUAGGUGCCCAAAAAUGGACGGUAUGUUUUGUUACUGGCGCCUUGUGAAGGAAAAAAAUGGAAAGGAAAGAGGAAAGAAAUUGAGAGAGGCCCCAAUACUAAGUGGGGAACAUUGAAAUGCAUUAGUGUGUUAAGGCUAAUAGAAGCAAUUCAUCACCACACAGGAUAUAUUAGUGGAGACUUUUUAUAAACAAUGAUAGAGACAGUAGCACUAAAUCAAGCAAGCAAAAGAAAGAAAGGAUUAGUGGGCGUAAAAACAGUAUUAUUUGGACCCUUGUUUGGUGGGUCUAUCAGAACACUUACCUCUCAAGACCUACCCCAACUUCUAUCAGGAUGCACCAUUUUCUAUUCAAAGCUUAGAAAAUAAAAUAUACAUAUAUAUCAAUAUCAGAUCCAUGUUUUGAAAUGCUUGACCAAUAGUUUGAGGCAAAAUAGGAUUUCUGGUGCUCUAAGUUGUCAUUGAACAAGUCAUUCUUCCAUAACACCAUAUCGUUCAAGUAUCACACAGAAAACCCCAUUAAGGACUUCACAGCACAAGCACUAAAAUAAUGAGAUCAUAUAAAGGUAGGAUCUGUUGGAAUUUUUGUCCAAACAGAAAACUAAUCUGAGUGUUGAAAGGUCAAUGAAGUGCAUAUCUAAGACAUGAUGUCAAAUUCACGUUACGAAAGAGCUGCAUAGGGCAUCCCAUACACACUGAAUCAAACAACAGCCUUUCAUCUUCAAACAACGGAUGUGCUUCAAUAAUACAAGAACGACAAAUGAGACUAUUACACCUUGGUUCAUGUCCAUGGGAUGCCAGAUGAAAUAAAUUGACGAGAUCAAGAUGCAGUCAUGACGCGAUCAUCGUCAUGGAACCCUCAUAAAUCAGCAUAUGGCUGGGCCAGCCCACUGGUAAACAAACAUUAUUAGAUUCUUCAUUCCCUGUUAGAAUGAUCUUUUUCUUUUCUUGGGUGGUGGAGGUUGCUCAAGAAUGAAGAAACAUUUUGAUAAAUGGCAACUUGAAUCCACUUGACUUGGAGGCAAGGAAGUGUUCCUUCACAUAACAGGGAAAGGCAUUUGAUCCAGGAUUCUUUUUUUAAUCCUAAAAAAUGCUAGUUUCAGAGGACCACAGAUUCUCAAGAAUGAGAAUGGGUACAAAUGACCUUGCAAGACAGCACAAUUUCCUUAGCAAAAAGAUGAAACCGAGCGGACGUCUCCCUUGCUUCAUAAAGAUAAUUUAUUCAGUUUGAAGAAGCUCUAUGCUCUUCUGGUGCACAUACAAAAAACCACAAAUAUAUGUGCAUGACAGACAAUACCGCAUCAAGUUCAACAGUUAUAGACAUGCGUAAUAAUCUACAAAGCUAUCUUGCUGUCAGCAAAGGAUUCCACUCUGCUUGAAUGCCCAUAACAGCAUAAUGAUAAAAGAAGAGCUCCAGUUUCACUUAAUUAUAGCACAAUAUCACAUGGGUAUAGAAAUGAAGCAUCAUGUUUCAGAUUUCAUGUCAUCAAACUGGUUGUUCUUUGAUAUUGGGAUGCAGUGAGAUCAUGUGACAAAAUCUUGUGUGCCACUAAUUUGAAAAAGUAUUCAGAAAAAUAAAAGACAGACACUAGAAUGUUAUCAGAAACUAAAUAGGCUCAUUUCAAAUUCUAUAUACAUUGACUUGUUCAACUUCCAUCAGAAAUCCAAAUGCUCCAGGAAAGUUGAAUCCCAUAAGUAAUACCUACCUCAAAAGUACUCUUUCUAAUUUAGUUAGUGGCCCUGAAAGUUCCAUUUUCAACACAGUUUUGAUUUAUCAAUAGGAUAAUUCCUAAUAUGGUCAUGAAAUGUCCAACCUUCAUGUCUUAUCCAGAAAAGAACUAAAAGAAAAAGAAAUAUAUCAAACAGAGAAUCACUGCAUCACAAUCCUUUGACAGGGCUGAUGUUUGAUUUAUUGGAGCAUUUAUUACAUGCAGUAAGUAAAGCGAGUAUUAUUGUUGAUGGUCAAUGAACUCAAUUCAUGUCACAGGCCUUUUCUUGUUGUUCUUUUUCAUACAUGCUGUAAAAUGGCCAAUGGAUCCAAGGAUUACGAGAAAACCACACAAAUUGUACUAUUACCAUAUCCAUUUUAAUGUGGCAAGUGCAGGAAUUUUGAAUAAUCAUCAUUAGAGGUAGUAAGGGCGACAUGGAAUGACCCAUGGAAAUGGAACAUUUCCAUUGCACUUCAUGAAGAAUUUUAAAGGUGAAAAGACACUAGUGCACUUAUUUGCUAUUGUUUUAGAGUGACAUCUCCAUUUUCUCCAAUAACCAUUCUAGUAGAUUAGAUUGAUCCCUCGAAAUUCAAAUGCUACCAAAAACCAACAUUACAUGCAAGAUCCAAGUAUCGUCAAAUAGAAUUAUACCCUGUCCUACUAAAGAGAGAAUUAGCCUUCAUCAUGCAUGGAAGAAACCUUCACCAUGAGGAACAAGAUGGGGGAAAAGAAUCCACGUUUAACUAGAUUAGAGGACAGUAAACAUUCUUCCAUAGAGUUCCCAAAUGGAGAAAGAUACACCUCAUUAUGACGCUUCAGUAGAUAAAAUAUUGCUGAAAGAGCAUCUGAGCUUGAAACUUAUUUUGACGGGCUCUAGAAGAAGUUAAGAAGGAGGCUUCUUUCUUAAUCUGGUGGGGGAUAGGAUCCAAACUCAGACAGGUUUCCUUUUAGAUUGUCUCUCAGUUGCCGGGAUAUUAUUAAGAUGAUUAGAGGAAGAUCUCUAAAGCAUUCCAUUUGUCAAUAAAGGCACCAGUAUCAAGUUGAUUGAUUAGCUAGAUUGCAAAGGAAAGGGGUUCUGUAAGUUUUAAGGACUUUCAACCUAUUUUCUAAGGAAAGGGCCCUUAUAAGGUUAACUCAAAUAUUUUACCCAGUAGACUGAAAAGGGUUUUGGGUGAGACCAUUUCCCUGGCUAAAGGUGCUUCCAUAAGUGGGAGACAAAUUACAAGCGCCAUUCUUGUAGAAAUCGAGUGUGUGGAUUAUAGGACCCUUGUGGACAGUUCAAUUAGCUGUAGAUGAUCUCCACUGGUGGCUAGAUGUUUCACCUAGUAUGAUGUUGAUCAUGAGUUUUAGGAGUUGUUUACUCUUAUCGCCAAGGCCGACAUGGUGUAUUCUCGUUCAUUACCACAUAAGCAGAUAGUGUUACCAAAAACAACUGCCAAAGUUCAUCAGCUCAAAGACAACCCUUGCAGCAAACCAUUCUCAUUGCUCUACCAUACAUUCAUUCCAAAUGGAGGAUGAAACAUAUAUGGGGGCUCAAUUCUUACAUCUCUCAUCUAAGCAAGCUUCAACUAUUUGGGGGUCUAAAAUUGUCUACCUGGCAAGCUGGUUAAGAUUCAACCUUAUGGCUUUAAAAAAACCCUUUGAAUUCCCAAAAUUUGCAACCAAAAGCACUUGGGUAAUUACUUCAAACCAAAAUUAAGCACUUGGGUUUUCAGGCUUUGUUGAGAACAAACCCUUGUUCUUGAAAUUACUAACAAAUAUUAGUGAAAGUACCAUAGAAACUCCAAUUGGGGAUAGCCUUAAGUGCUUUAACUACUGGAUUUAGCUCCUUCACAUAUUUUUAAUUCCACAAAAAUAAAAUUAAAAAAUAGAGAAAUUAAAAAAUAUUAUAUUAAUAAUUAGCAUAAAACUCUGUUCUAAAUCCAAUCUACAACUGGGUUUUGUUAAAUAAAAUCAAACAUGGUAAAUAGGUCCUUAUAGUUCAUCGGUAUCACCAUCAUCACUGUAAAACAAGAUAACUGUAACAUUCAUGGGAGCUGAUUCUCACCGGAAUAACUCGGAUAGGGCUGACUGAGUGAGAGCACCGCGUUGGCUCAGUCAAACUCAGAGUGUGGUUGUCCCUUUCAAGAAGACACCGUUUUGCCUAUUUUGGCAUAUUUUCAAACUAUUGUGAAAAUUAAUAUUUUUUUAUUAUUUUUAAACUACUUUAAAAUUAAUUUAAAAUCAUAUUUUGAAAUUACCAAUCCUAUACAAAUUCAAAAUCGCAUUUUCUAAUUCACGAAAAGUUAUACUUUCCAACAUGCAGUUUCUAAAUUGUAUUGAAGCCAUAAUUUCAAAAUGGGGUUUUAGAGAAAUUAAAAAAAAUAAAAUAGAAUAAAAAUGUCAUAAGUGACCCUUCUUGAACAAUAGUUUGGGAGAAGCCUCAAGAUGGAUAUUUUAAUGGUUUAAAUGGAUGGUUGAAAUUAAAACUCUAUUCCAACUCCCAUUAGAGACCAAUCCACAAUUACUAAUGCCAUGUUUGGUUAGUGGAAAGUUUGGGGGAAAAUAGAGGGAAAUAAAAUAAAGAGAAAAAGAAGAAGAAAAAUAAAAAAGAUUUAAAAUUAAUAAAUUAUUUUUAUAUACUACUUCAAUUUUUUUUUACCUAUUUAAUUCUUUUAUAUAAAUAUUAGAGAAUUUAAAAAUAUAUAAAUUUUUUAAUAAUUUUAAUUAUAUUUAACUUUUUUUUACAUUUUUCAUAAUAAAAUCAAAUAAGAGAAAAUUAUUUUUCUUAAUAAUUUUUUUUCUUUUCCUAAUAUUUUUCAAGAACCAAAUAUAACCGAAUGGAAAUAAAAUGAAAAACAUUAUCAUGAAAAGGAAAGGUAUCCAAUUAAAAUCAAUAAUUAUAUUAAAGUAAGGAUAAUGUUACUUCUCGUAAAAACUAUGUUUUACCUUGUGAAAGAAAUUAUUUCAUGUUUAAUAAAACUUUUAUAAUAUUAAUAUAAUCUUUUAAAAAUUGUAAUUUUGACUUUAAUUUAAGCUUUUAGUUAAAGUUUAAAAAAAAUAAAUCAUUUGAAUUGACUUUUAAGAAGUCAAAAGUCUUUUUUUUAACUCGUUGGUUUGAUUUUUAUUUUAUUUUUAUAAAACGGUUUGACUUAAAAAAAAGAGUUUAUAGUCUUAAUUAGAAAGCUUAUUUAAAUAUUCUUAAUUUAAAAAAUGACAACAUGGGUACAUGUGAGAUUUCUAUUCUUUUUCCUUUUUUUUUUCUUUUUUUCUUUUGUAAUUUAAUAGGCUUUUUCUUAAGACAUAACAUAUGUGUAUGAUAUUUUUUGGAUGUAAUUAAUUAAUGCAGGUUGCAUAGGAUGGUGUCUCCCAUGUGUCACCUUCGGCCAAACUGCAGAAGUGUUAGAUGAGGGGGAAACUUGUAAGUAUCACCAAUCAAAUAAUUCUAAUAUAUUUAUAUAUUAGAAUUAUUUUAGCUAAAAAAAAUUAAUUGUUUGCUAACACAAAUAAAACCCUAGUCUAUAUUAAAAAGGAAUUAAAAGAUGAAUAAUAAUUUCCUAAAACAUGUUAAAAUAAAUAAAUAAAAAAUUAUCUGGAAAUUUCACAAGUUAAUGUCAAUUCCAUAGAUAUAGGAGAUUGUAAAAUCCAGAGUUUGGGAUCAAAGUCGAUUCAAAAUCAAAUUGAAUUUCAAGACCAAUUUUACAUCAGAAGCUUUGAUUUUCACUUAUUAAAUCUAUUGAUUAAUUUAAUUUUCGGUUUUAAACAUUUAUAGUUCAUAUUCAUUUUAUAGAUUCAACUGUUAGAUUCAUUAAUGAUGAGAUCAAACUAAGUUAACUAAUGAUAAAGGUUUUCCAAGAGUUACUAAUAUCUCAGGAAGGAUUCUUCUAUAUUCCUCAUCUAAGGUGAACUAACAAGGUAGAUGUAUUCAUAUUGAUUUAUAACAUAAAAGUACAAAGAAAACCAAUCAAAGAUUAGUAUGAUGUUGCUACUCCUUUCGAUUAUUCACCUUCAUGUUAGUAUUUUUAAAUCACAUCAUAUUAGUCAAAUCUAGUGAAGAAUUUCCUCGCAUAACCCAUGUUUCAUCACCAAGAAAAUAAAAUAGAAAGGAAUGAAAAAGAAAAAAAAAGAAAAUUAAACCUUUAUUGUAUAAAGAACCGAAAAGCAAGAGUCAUCAAUUUUUCCUCAUGAACUUAAAACCUAAAAGAAAGCAAAUAUAUAUAGUGUAACCCUGAAAGAGACAUGUGUCACCUUCUAAUUAACCACUUAUUCUUAUUAAAAAAACAAAAGAAGAAAAUUAUGAGUUACUAAAUGAUAAGAACAUGUUUUAAAUUGGUUGGAGUCGAAAAGAAGUGAUUUUGAAAUGGAUGGAGACUUGAUCCCAACUUUGUAGACCUUGAUCUCAAAAUUUAGGGUGAAAUCAAAAUCAUUUCGAAAUCAUAAGUGAUGCAUAUCUAAAUGGCAAUGGGCAUCUAAGGAUCCACAUUUUUGUCAUGCAUUCCCACUCAGUUGUGUGACUCGCUUUUUAUGUGUGAAAAAAAAUAUAUAUGUAUAUUUUUAGAAAAGUUUUUAGAGUCGUCACUUAUUUUUGUUUUAUUUUUAAGAAGGAAAAACAAAAUAAGACUCCCGAAAGAAAAGCAAGUUUAUGAAAACCAAGUCUAGGUCCAAGAUCAGAUCACCUAUUGAACAGAAAUGGUCCAUAACACUCCUCUAAACCCUAAAAUCAAGUCUCUACUAAUCAAGUUAAUGCAAAUAAGGUAAUUUAUUAGUUAAUCUAUGAGUACUAAUAGGAUAAAGGCAAAUCAUGCAUAGGGUGUAAAUAAAAACAUAAGAUGAAGAUUGGACCGUAUCUUGGCAACAAGGUGAGCGUUUCAUGAGAAAUUAUGUUAAUAUAUAAUAAUAAACACAAAAUAUCUCAUGUAUGUCACAAAGCAAGGCAGAGAUCAAUCAAUAUUUAUUAAGUAUAGCAAUCAAUGAUCAAAGGAGAAAACUCAUAUAUAGGGGCCCACCAAAACUCAAUUUAUUUUUUCAUCAAUUAAUUCCAUUUUAUUGAUUAUCACGAGGGAUUAUAGAAAUUUGGAUGAAUUUUAUUAUUUGUGGAAUUAGAAAAUUUAUUCAUGUUUAUUAAAAAUCAAGAAAAAUCAGAAAAUUAUUUAAAAUCUAAGAAAAUAAGAAAAGGUGCAUGACGGAAAAAAAUUUGGCAGCAAAAAUUUAUUGAAAUGAUGUUAGAGUCCUAAAAAAAGUCUUUUUAAGGACGAAUUUUUAAAACUGGGGCUAUUUCAGUUGAAAACAGUUUUGAAAUUUCAAUUUAAAAACCUGUAACUGAGACUGUAUUGCUUAUGUUGAUGUUGCUGCUAUAUAUUGCCAUUGUGGGUGCCUUCCCAAGUAUGCAUUUCUCCACUUGCUCUUCAAAUUUGCAGAACAUGGUUCAGAAUCAGACUGCAACCUGUUAUCUGCACUGCUUCUUUUGGCCAAAUCACUAAAAACGCCCAGAACUCUAUGUUUAUCCUCAUGGUACAGAGAGCUUACAGCCAUACUCAAAAUAGAUAACACCUUGUCCUUCUUCUCUUCAAGUGUUCCUUGGAAUCUGGCCUCCCUUGUACCAUCUUGUUUAAAUUGUCCUCAUUGCACAGAAGAGAUAGUAUCUUCUUUCCUUGUAAGGACAGCAAUCUGCAUGUAUUUCAUGAAGGUGGAUAGAAGGUGAUCUUUAGCUUUUGACGGCUCCACACGUACUGACAGACUCUCUGUGAGCUUCAGCAUUGAAGAUGCAAAAAGCUUCAUCAACCCAAGUUUAACUAUCUCAUCAGGAGCUAUGGGGAAAUCUUGAACUGCGGCCGUGGUUGUAGGCGUGAGUAUAGCCUAUAGUUUUCAGCAAACCUCACAUGGAACACCACAUAGCCGCAACCUGUACCCUGUAUUCUGCUUCAUGAAGAAAAGCAAGACCCUCUGCUGCAUCUAAAGCAAUUUUCAUUCUUGUUGAUCAAGUCAGUGUAGCACACACUAGGAUGGCCAUGCACACGUGGGAGCCGGGGACUUAGGAAGUGAAUAUUGGAUAUGGUAUUCAAGUCCUCUGAUCUUUAUUCAACUUCUGAUGGUUCAUUCAAGUAAAUGACCCUUGCAUCAAAUCGAAUUUUCAGGCACAAAAAUCUGACAUCUCCGACUUUGUUCCCCUUUGUACAGAACAGCUAAACUUGGGAGAAUUCUGUCCCUUCUCAAGAUCAUCAAAAGCAGCUGGAGAAAGCAGGCAACAUCAAACUUCUGGAUCCUCAAGGAAUUCCCACAAAGACCCGAUUUCCAAACCCCAUGCAGAAUACAGUGUCAAGUUCUCCGGCAUAUAUUCUGGAGGCUUUACAAGUGAAGGACAAAAAGCUGAUGAGCGUAGGCUAGCUUCUUUCCUGAUGUUCUCUUUAUGACUACGGGUCAAAGGAUUCAGAAGACAUGGAAGUCAACCAUGGUUAAUUAUGCACUGGGUUUGCAAGAUUGCUCCUGACAGCAAGUGUUCGUUUGUUGUUAGACAGUGCUGAGGGCUUUGAGAGUCUCUGCCAAGAGCUGGUUCAGUUUGUAGAUCCCUGAGUAGAAACCAGAGCAACUGAGUGGAUAAGAAACAGGAGAAUGAGUGGUCACACUGUCGGAUGACUUCAUUGGAGUAACCUUAAAGGCAUGGGAGUCCAGAGAUCUCUCGGAUGAGGUUUGUGAGAUUAUGUUGGGAAAUGUAAGAUUUGGAAAUAAGGCUUCAAGAUGAACUGAUAUGGUUACGGCUAUCGAGAGGAACCUGACAUAUCUCAACUGUUGUUCCUUCAGGUUAAGCUUCCUGAAGCUUUCUUGCAGGAUAAGGACCCCCUUUCUAACAGCUUCCUGCAGCUUUUCAGCUAUUCCGGUUAGAGCAGGGACACUAGUGAGUUUACUUGAUGACAUAACCUAAUGAAUUGCCUCACAACAUUCAGCAUAUCCACAAACAACCAUGAGCCCUCAUUAAUCAAUACAAGUAACUUCUCCACCAAGAUUAAUUACACCAAUGCACUGACCAGCUUGACAAUCCCGAAUCCUUAUAGUCUCAUCUUCACUACCAGUAUAUGACUUAUCAAACCCAGAUGGCAAAGUAAUCCCAAAUACAAAACUCCAAUUCAGCUCCAUGGCCAAUAUUUUGGACUAAUAGACUGGAGCACAGAUAUAAUCACAGAAACCCUCCAUUUAGUUCAUUUCUCUUCACAACCUCACUUUUCCAGUCUCAUCAACUUGGCCAUUGAUGACCUCAUCCCCACCAUCAACAAAAAACAGAGCAAUAAACAGAGAGGAGCAAAAAAAAAAAAGAAACAGGAUAUGAACUUAGCUAUAUUUCACGGAUUGUCAAAGAGCAAGAGCAAGUGGAAUCAACAGGAAACAAAGCAUGAUUUUUAUAUAUCAAGUUCAGGGAUGAAGCCAUACAUCAGAUACUUAUAGAAGGAGUCAAGGAAACCAAGAUAAAAUCAAACAGAGCAUAUAUGCACACAAACAGAUUCAGCAAAACAAACCAGUAAUCCUUGAUGCCCAAACCAAUCAAUAAAAUCACACCCAGGAAUCUGCAGAAAGAUUUAGCAGAAUAAUGUGAUAACGAGGAAAUGUGAAGUUCACAGAGACCUUACCUGGAAGUUUCCUCCCCGAGCAAGGUGUGCUCCUCUUCAAGCACUCUUUCUUCCUCCAAAGCCAGCGAGAACUCCCAGCUUCUUCUUCUCCUCUGCUCUGCUUUCUUGUCCUCCAAGACACACUUACCCUCUCUCUCAAAAACAGCCUUCCCUCCUUACCCCUUUCUCUAAAACAGCUACCCAAUGGAUCCUCUCCAACAGCUCCUCACCGGAAAAUGGUCCCCCAGACUAGAAUCUGCCCCCCUCCAAGAAUAUUUUCUCACAGUUCAGCUCACCAUCUCUCUCAAUUCCCCCCACCCACCCUUUUCGGUUUUCUCCUUCCCCAAGUUUUCUUCUUCUUUUUCUUCCACUCCUCUGCCCUCCAAAAUUUCUCUCCCUCUCCUCUCCAAAACCCCUUAGAAAACAAAGCCCCUCUGCUCUCUCUCUCUCUCUCUAAGGACCCCCUCCAAAGCGUGCUGCCCUCUGCAGAGAUUGUCCCUCCAACUGCAGAAAACUACCUCCUACCCCCAACAAACUCUUACCAGAAAAAUUAAAAAACCUUUUCCCUGCCGCGUGUCUCCUCCAGGGUGGUUUAAAAAAAGUCCCAGAAAACCAAAGGUGGCCCAAAAAGAGAGUCCCACGCCGACGGCCCAAAAUGGGGUCUACAGCAUCUUUAAAUUUCAAUAUAUUUUAUAUUCAUCCGCUGCCCUCCUCUUCCUUUGCAAUUCCUCGCGUCGAAUUGAUGUUUUCUACUUUGA
rnacentral:lncRNA from 1 species